GACGAACCGUCCAAACGUUAUUCGGAAUUACUGGGCUUAAAGGGUGCGUAGGCGGCGCGGAAAGUUGGGUGUGAAAUCCCUCGGCUCAACCGAGGAACUGCGCCCAAAACUACCGUGCUUGAGGAAGAUAGAGGUGAGCGGAACUUAGGGUGGAGCGGUGAAAUGCGUUGAUAUCCUAAGGAACACCGGUGGCGAAAGCGGCUCACUGGAUCUUUUCUGACGCUGAGGCACGAAAGCUAGGGUAGCGAACGGG
rnacentral:rRNA from 1 species